rnacentral:rRNA from 1 species
GGGCCCGCACAAGCAGCGGAGCAUGUGGUUUAAUUCGAAGCAACGCGAAAAGAACCUUACCAAGGCUUGACAUCCUACUAAACUCAUGGAAACAUGAGGUCCCUUCGGGGGAGUAGAGACAGGUGGUGCAUGGUUGUCGUCAGCUCGUGUCGUGAGAUGUUGGGUUAAGUCCCGCAACGAGCGCAACCCUUAUUACCAGUUACCAGCGGGUUAUGCCGGGGACUCUGGUGAGACUGCCGGGGACAACUCGGAGGAAGGUGGGGACGACGUCAAAUCAUCAUGCCCCUUAUGUCUUGGGCUACACACGUGCUACAAUGGCUGAAACAAAGGGAAGCAACCUCGUAAGAGGAAGCGGAUCUCAUAAAAACAGUCCCAGUUCGGAUUGUGGGCUGCAACCCGCCCACAUGAAGUCGGAGUUGCUAGUAAUCGCGGAUCAGCAUGCCG